rnacentral:misc_RNA from 1 species
GGAAAAAGGAAAAAGAGGAGAAAUUUAGUGUCUAAAAGUUGUUUAGAGUUACUGAAAGAAUGGAUAUUCUUCUGUAUACUUCACUAAAAGGUAGUUUAGAGCUUCUUGUUAGCCCAACUAGCAUUAGUUCAUUCAUGCUGUGAUUUUACUCUUUUAUAGCCUUAAGAGUAAAAUCUACUGUACAAUCAUAUGGGAUUAGAGUCUAUCACAAUGCUCCUUAUAUUCUCUCAUCUUGGGAAAUG